rnacentral:lncRNA from 1 species
CUAAUACAAGUCUCCUGAUCCUUCUUUACUCUAAUUUUUAUCUCUGCAUUUACUUUGAAUAUGAGAAACUUUGAAUUGUUCUAGCCUUAUAUUUGAUAUAUCUCCUAUUUAGACGUAAUGAUUUGAAUCUGUGAAACUUCUGAGAUUUUGACCUUUCUACCUUAUUAUGGUUAUAACUUCAUACACUGACCUCUGAUUUGGACAAAACUUGUUUGAUCAGAAUAUAGACUCAUAAACCUUUCUUUUGAUAGCUUAUUUUAAGAAUUUGGAAUAAGUUUGCCUGUCCAAACUUUUGUUUCAAAUGAGCCUACAGAUUCUGCAAAACAUGGAUCGUAAUUUCUAACCUUUCGAUACUAAACUGCCUAUAAGUUCUAAUUGGAAACUUUGAUUUAUUCAAAACUUAUUUCAUUGGAAACUAGACUCGUAUAUCUUUCUUUUGAUUCUUAGAUUGAAAGAUUUAGAGUCCAAAUGCCUACCCGGUUAUCUAUUGAAGCUGACCCUAUGUAUUCUGCAAAAUAAUGAUUUUGUUUUCUGACCUUUGGUUACUAAAUCAAUUGUAACUCUUUGUUGGAAACUUCGAUUCAUACGAGACUUAUUUUAUCUGAAAAUAGAUUGAAAUAUCUUUCUACAAUGGCUUUCUUAAGUAUAUUAGAGUACAAUUGAUAGUUUGAAUCAUUUGUCCAAUGUACCUCUCGAAUUCUGCUAGAAAUCGAGCUUUGGUCAAUUUCGCAUAUUCAGGUUUCAUUCCUUUGGAAAUUGAUUUCAUUUAGCUUUCUUUGUUCAAUUGAGCUUUAUAUUACUGCUUUGAAUUCUUGUAUGCUCUUGUUCUUAAAUUAUUUGCAUUCUUGAAACCUAUUGUGUAAAGUUUAUGUUGUAUCGUAUCAACUUGUAUAGGCACAUGUAUAUCCCAUUGUUCCGCAUUUUCUUUCGAUAUGUGCCUCUUCCAGUUUCACUUCCUUGGACAUUGAAUUCAUCUAACCUUCUUAUUUCAAUUGAGCUAUAUGUGAUUACUUGGAAUCCUUGUAUUCUCUUGUUUUGAUUUCCUUUCAAAUCUGAAUACAUUUGUGAAAGAUUAUGUUUACAUCGUAUUGAUUCGAAAGGCACAUGUAUGUUUCAUUGUUCCGUAUGUGCUUCCAAUAUGUGCUAAUUUUAUUAUUCAUACUAUCCUUUUAUACUCUGGUGUUUAUGGGAUAUUAUGAAUCUUUGCCAGAAAUGGUAAAUGAAGUUAUGCAUAGAGCCCGCGAUGCUCUGCCGGCCCUCUAUGACUUCACUCAGACAUGGGUGGAUGGAGCUCCCAAACGUGGGAGACUUAUGUUUGGUGGUCAUUCAGAAAUGGAUGUACCAUAUUAUGUUAUGAUCCCACUUCACCUUCUAUGUGUUUGAUAUGAUACCCAGAGCUUUGGUUAUGUGUUUCUAUAUGUGCUUUGGAUGAGAAUGAUAUGAAUGUAACGUCAAAUUCGACGUUUGAGCUUUUGUUCCGUAUUCGUUCUUUGAUAUGUUCCUAAAUAAUUCAUAUGUCGUUGAUAUGCUUUGAAAUAUUUCACAUAUCAUUGAUAUGUUCCGAAAUAUUUCAUUUAUUAUUGAUAUGCUCCGAAACAUUUCAUACGUCUUUGAUAUGCUCCGAAAUGUUUAAUUUGCUAUUGUUAUGCUCCGAAAUGUUCCAUAUGUUGUUGAUAUACUCCGGAACAUUUUGUUCGCUAUUGAUAUGCUCCAAUUACUCUAUGCUCCAUUUGUUAUGAACCAAAUAUGUUUUGAAUGACAUGACAUUUGCGAUUAUGUAUCUAAUGAGAUGGUCUCUUGAGAGUUCUUGUAUUUUACCUUGCAUUGUGAUACCUUAUUUGUUUGAAACUGUCUCUUUUCAUUCUGGAUAUAUUUGUCACUUACUAAGCUAUUUUUAGCUCACUCCGUUGUUAUAUAAAUCUUUUAGGUCAACUUGUCACACUCUGAGAUAUUUGUAUUGUGCUGAGGCAGUGGAGAGCUAUUCAGAAUUGUGGGCAAAUCUUGUUGGUUGAUAUGUUAUUAUUGUAUAAGUGCAUUUUAUAUGAAAUGAAAUGAAAUGUUGUCAAUGAAUCUGAAUUGAUACAUUGUGUAAAAGUGUUAAAAAAAUCUCUCUUAUUUAGACUUUCGGAAUGUUAAGUUUAGUUUACAAUGAUGUGAAUUGGUGGUAAAUGGUUAGAGUCUUGAUUGUAUAAAUUAUUUAGCUUGUGGAUUUGUAAGUGUUGUUAAUGUUUUGUUAAGUUGGCUUGGGUUUCCAUAAAUGUGAAUUAUCGAGUGAUGUGAUAUAUGAUUAUAAACUGCAUAGGUUUUAUGGAUGUGAAUUUGAUUGAAUGUUUUUCAGUGUCC